ACGUCCCCCUUGCCAGUCUCGGGUGGGCGCUUGCCCUCCCUUCGUGGGGGUUCCUGGUCUCCGCGUGAUCACACGCCGGCGACCCAAGGCACCUACACGAACGGACGGUUUGUGUCCUUCCCAAAGAUUGGAAGUAGCAGGGCAUAGGUUGGAAGAGAAACCUUUUGUGAAAAUGAUUUCUGCUUACUGCUUCUUUUCUUUUGUAGUAAUUAGAUGCAUUUU
rfam:Murine norovirus GV/CR4/2005/TSA, complete genome.